GGGAGCAGAAUGGAUCAAAACUCAAAUUGGUCAAAGGAGGACUUUUACCAAAUUAAUAUCAUCCAUUCAUUUUGGGAGAUGGAAUGUACAUUCCAUCAAUCCCUAAAUCCAAUGAUAUUAACUUGACAAAGUCAAAUCAAACUUGACCAAGGUCCAACAAUAAGAGUCAAACUUAUACAAGUCAUUACAAUAGGUCAACACAAUUAAUUGACAUUUAUUCAAAUUAAAAAUACUAAAAUAAUACAUUUAAAUUAAAUAUGGUUUGUCAAAUUUCUAAAACCUC
rnacentral:lncRNA from 1 species